GAGCUAUUGGCUUUGAAUUGUAUUGUGGAAAUGUAUUACCAACAGAGGUGCAGGUGCCAGCCUAUUGAAAUAAAGCGUCAAUGAGGGUGAGAAUCCUGUUUGUCAUGUGCAGCCCUUUGUGCACGGUGUAUAUUUGCUGAGUCACACUCCUUGGCAUUGGAAUGCAAAGUGGGUGGUAAGUUUCAUGUAAAGGUAAACAUGCAAUUGAGACUGAUAGCACACAAGUACCAUGAGGGAAAUAUGAAAAGGACUUUGAAAAGAGAAUUAAAUGAGUUUGUAUUUGCUGAACACAAAGUAAACAGACUUGAUUUGCUUGGUGGGAGUGUUGCACUUGCUUGACAAGAGCUUUGGGCUGUGGGUGUAAUGAUUCUUUCUUUGCAUGCCAGUUUCUAUUUGUACAUCUGAUUACCUUUGCACAUGAAUGAUAAGUCUCCUGUGGGGGGUGGAUUGCAUGUGCAUGUAAUGAUUUGUGUUUUGAUAAAUGUGUCUGGUGUAUGUGUGUGUUCCUGUGCUUGGGGAUGCUUCCUUCCUUGGACUUACAAGCCCUGACACACACAUGCUGGCAAAAUGCUUCUGCUUGACCCGUCUUGAAACACGGACCAAGGAGUCUAACAGAUGUGCAAAGUUUGAAGGUGGUAUACCUUUGUGUGCAAUGAAAGUGUCAGCUGGGAUAUGUGCACCAGCACCCAAUUAAUUAGCGGACAGAGGUUUGAGUUGGAGCAUAUCUAUUAGGACCCGAAAGAUGGUGAACUAUGCCUGAACAGAAUGAAUUCAGAGGAAACUCUGAUGGAGGUUCGUAUCGAUACUGACGUGCAAAUCGUUCGUCAUAUUUGGGUAUAGGGGCGAAAGACUAAUCGAACCAUCUAGUAGCUGGUUCCCUCCGAAGUUUCCCUCAGGAUAGCUGGAGUUGCUCAGUUUUAUCAGGUAAAGCGAAUGAUUAGAGGAAUUGGGGACAGGUUUGUCUUUGACCUAUUCUCAAACUUUAAAUGGGUAAUAUGUAGUGGUUGCUG
rnacentral:rRNA from 1 species